rnacentral:lncRNA from 1 species
AUGAAACACUCCUCGCCUGAUGCCCUGCAACAUUAGUAAGCUCGAUGGCAGUUGAGAGUCAGGCCUUUAUUUACAUGGCUGCCUGAGACGGACGAACUCUGGGAUGCUCCACUCCACCCAUCCAUGAAGGGCCUGCUACCUACAUCCCUCUUGCUGAUGACAAGGUGAAAGGGCAGAGAGAUGGUGGAGUGAAUCACUGCCCUGUUCUGGCCCCGGAGCAGCAUGGCUAAUGGGAGCAGGCGCCCUCCUCUUGUGACGUGACCCCAGAGGUCAAGAGUAUCAAGAGCUAGAGACCCCAGAGCGGAAAGGAAAUCCCAGAAACUGCUACACUUGGCUCUCCCUUCCUUCAGAAAGAAACUUCAUGGUGUGAGCUGGGCACCUUCAUGCGGUCGAUUUCAGGGAUUGAGGAACCCUUACCGACCGUGGUGCUGUGGUGUGAAUCUUCAAUGCUCCCAGUAUGUUAAAGGCUUCGUCUUUGGGUGGUGCCGUGGGGGUAGGAGUGGGGUGGGGGACGUUGAAUCUUUUAGGGAUGGCGUCUAGUAGCAGGAGGUCAUUGGGGCACGCCUUCAAAGGACACUGUGACCUCCUCUUCUCUGCUCGUGGCUGUGAGGUGAGUGACUUUGCUGUGUGCUCCCCACUACGAAGUAUUGCCUCACUAGAGAUCAGAACACGAUCCACUGCUGGGUCCUUGGGGGAACCAAUGGUUGUGCUCAAAGCGCCUUCUAAGGGACCGUGUUCAGACCCACGCAACAGCUCUGUUCUCUGCCCUAGGCUUCCUCGUGCACGAGGGGAUGGAUGUGAGGAGAGAGAUUCACAACAUCUCAAAGGGCUGAGAAUUACUGCUGGGUGCUCAGCCCUAAGUGACAUCUACACUGCAAGGUGGAGGAGACAUUGUAGGAGAGGGUUCAAAAGGAACAGAAGAGCCAGAGGGGAAGAAGCUGUGAAACGCUCUCUGCUCGACAGGACACAGGUGUUGCACUCAUGAACCCACGGCAGCUACGGUUACCUGCAUGAGUGCUUACCUGCAUGAUACCCACACAAGACCAGGCCUGCCAGCAUUCCUACCUGAAUAAGGGAGAGGCUCAGGAGGCCCCACCCCUGCCUGAGGAAACAUGAGCAAAUGGUGUCUGGGGGAGGGGAAGGCAUGUUGUUCCCUGCUGUCGCCACUGCUGAGUUACCAUUGGUGGAGUAAAUACCCCCACCCACGUUCAUGCAAGCUCAGCCUUCUAACACACGGGCCUCUAUGGAGCAUCGAAGAUCUAAACUAUAACACCAUGUUUUUAAAAAGUUAAUUCAUGGCUUCCCACUUUUAUUCCUGUCUGCUCAUUUAACCCUUAAGUGUUCUUUUGGGUGAUAAUUAAAACUUUAAAAACCAAGAAUGGUUUUUAAGCUUCACGAGAGCUUACCCAGUCUGUUUGUUUUUAU